rnacentral:rRNA from 1 species
GACGAACGCUGGCGGCGUGCUUAACACAUGCAAGUCGAACGAUGAAGCCGGAGCUUGCUCUGGUGAAUUAGUGGCGAACGGAUGAGUAACACGUGAGUAACCUGCCCUUGACUCUGGGAUAACUGCGGGAAACUGUAGCUAAUACCGGAUACGACCCUCGGAGGCAUCUCCUGGGGGUGGAAAGAAUUUCGGUCAAGGAUGGACUCGCGGCCUAUCAGCUAGUUGGUGAGGUAAAGGCGCACCAAGGCGACGACGGGUAGCCGGCCUGAGAGGGUGACCGGCCACACUGGGACUGAGACACGGCCCAGACUCCUACGGGAGGCAGCAGUGGGGAAUAUUGCACAAUGGGCGCAAGCCUGAUGCAGCAACGCCGCGUGAGGGAUGACGGCCUUCGGGUUGUAAACCUCUUUUAGCAGGGAAGAAGCGAAAGUGACGGUACCUGCAGAAAAAGCACCGGCUAACUACGUGCCAGCAGCCGCGGUAA